rnacentral:rRNA from 1 species
GACAGAGGGUGCAAACGUUGUUCGGAAUUACUGGGCGUAAAGCGUGCGCAGGCGGUUUGUUAAGUCCGCUGUGAAAUCCCCGAGCUCAACUUGGGAAUUGCAGUGGAUACUGGCAAGCUGGAGUAUGGUAGAGGAAGGUGGAAUUCCCGGUGUAGCAGUGAAAUGCGUAGAGAUCGGGAGGAACACCAGUGGCGAAGGCGGCCUUCUGGACCAAUACUGACGCUCAUGCACGAAAGCGUGGGGAGCAAACAGG